GCUUCUUCAGUGGGCGAUCAAAAGCAGAGAGGAGGACAGACAGAUGUGUUACAGACUUAACCCUUUCACUUGUCGUUUUUCUGCUGAAGACCAGGAUCCCCAAGCUGCUUCCCACCCCUAAAGAAAAUAUAUGGAUUUGGGGGCUGAGGCUAAAAGGGAGCGGCUUACCUAAGGCCAUCUGCUGAGGUCAUGAUUUGAAUCAAGGUUGAGGUAAGAUUUGAGGAGCCCAGAUCGGUGUACUACAUACUUGAGUUUCUCUUUCACAACAACCCUGUGAAGUAGGUUAGGCUGAGAGAGAAGUGACUGGCCCAGAGUCACCCAGCAAGUAUUAUGGCUGAAUGGGGAUUUGAACUCGGGUCUCCCUGGCCCUAGUCCAGCACUCUAACCACUAUACCACACUGACUCUCGUGGAAUGAAGAUACUGGUAAUAAUUUCCUUCUAGUUCUCAAGUUGCUUCAUCCUCACACACCUUCUGGAGAAAGCUUGUCAAGAAUUUCUCCCACAUUUUCAGAAGGCAGAAAAGAUUUAGCAACUCUUGAAAUAACACUUGGCUCAAGUAAAGAAUGUGAAGGCGUGUAGGGGUGCAAAGAACAACACUAUGACAGCAGUCCUUGAAUGGCUUGCUCUAAAAUCGUCCCAUCAACAUGGCCUAGAGCUGAUGAGCAAUUUACUAUGGCGCAGCUCUUCAAGUAAGCUGUUAUGGUCUGGUAUACUCUACCUUGAAACAUUUCCCACUGGUACACAGUGCCAGGAAGACGACAGAUCAGUUGAGUAGCGGUGGCUCCAGGACCUGCCUCACUAACUGCCCCAUGGGCAAGCUGCCUCUACCAUUGCUGCUCUCCCUGUAAGUUAGGGGGAGAGCAGGUCAUGGGACAGGAGGGAGUGGGAGGUCGUUCUCUCGCUUCCUUUUGCUCUGUGUCCCGCCUCCUGCCUUUUCAAAUGAUGGGGAAAGACGGAGGGAGGGUAAGGGAGGGGGAAUGCGGCCAUUGUUAGGUAAGGGGUGGAUGUAGGGCUCAAAGGGCCUUGGGGAGUCACUGGGGGGAGGGCAGGAGAGCUGGUGCAGGUUUAUGGGGUGGAUGUUGGGAAGGUCACACAGGUCUAUGGAAGAAGGCUUUGGGGACAGGGAUAGGGUUGGGAAGGCCAUGCAGAGAGGAGAGUCUUGGAAGGUUGUGGGGAAGUAGGGAGUGAGUUGGGAUGGUCUCAGAUGGAUAGGGGGCCCUGGAAAUUCAUAUUGGGUUAAUGGGAGGGCUGGAAAGGUCAUACAGGGAAGAUUAUUUGGGGGUAGAGAAAGGGUUGGGGGUGUUGCGCAUGGGUGGGGAGCCUUGGAAAUUCAUGGGCGACACAAGGAAGGCUGGAAAAGUCGCACAGGGAUAUCAGGACCUGGGAGGUUGUGUGGGGGUAGGGCUGAGAAGGUUGCAUAGGGAUAUGGGUUGGGCACAGGGGACUUCAAAUUAUGUAUUGAGGGUGUGUGUGUAUUUUGGCAUGCAAAAGGCUUUGGAACACAAUUCCGGCUGAAAUAAGAGCCUCCCCAGUUCGCACAACUUUAAAAAAGGCAGUCAAGAUGCAUUUGUUCACCCAGGCUUUUAAUUAGACAUUGUUUUAAUUGUGUUUUUAAUAGUUUUACCAAUUUAAAUUUUAAUUGUUGUAAUGUUUUUUAAUCUUUUUAUCCGUUUUUAUUGUUCUGUUGUAAACUGCCCAUAGACUUGCAUUUUGGGUGGUAUAUAAAUGUCUUAAACUAACUAACAAACAAGUAAAUAAAUAAAUAAACAAAUGCAACACC